UGUGCAGGCGGUGGCGUAAGUCAGUGGUGAAAGCUCCGGGCUUAACUCGGAAAUCGCCCCUGAUACUACUUCACUUGAGGACGGGAGAGGUGAUUGGAACUUUCGGUGUAGCGGUAGAAUGCGUAGAUAUCGAAAGGAACGCCGGUAGCGAAGGCAAAUCACUGGAACGUUCCUGACGCUGAAACACGAAAGCUGGGGGAGCAAACAGGAUUAGAUACCCUGGUAGUCCCAGCCCUAAACGAUGAUCACGGUUUUUAACGCUGUUGCCCUCUCGGGCAGUAGCGGAGCCAACGCAUUAAGUGACUCCGCCGUGGGGACUACGGCCGCAAGGUUAGAA
rnacentral:rRNA from 1 species